rnacentral:rRNA from 1 species
GACGAACGCUGGCGGCGUGCCUAAUACAUGCAAGUAGAACGCUGAAGGAGGAGCUUGCUCUUCUGGAUGAGUUGCGAACGGGUGAGUAACGCGUAGGUAACCUGCCUGGUAGCGGGGGAUAACUAUUGGAAACGAUAGCUAAUACCGCAUAACAGUAGAUGUUGCAUGACAUUUACUUAAAAGGUGCAAUUGCAUCACUACCAGAUGGACCUGCGUUGUAUUAGCUAGUUGGUGGGGUAACGGCUCACCAAGGCGACGAUACAUAGCCGACCUGAGAGGGUGAUCGGCCACACUGGGACUGAGACACGGCCCAGACUCCUACGGGAGGCAGCAGUAGGGAAUCUUCGGCAAUGGACGGAAGUCUGACCGAGCAACGCCGCGUGAGGGAAGAAGGUUGUCGGAUCGUAAAGCUCUGUUGUAAGAGAAGAACGAGUGUGAGAGUGGAAAGUUCACACUGUGACGGUAUCUUACCAGAAAGGGACGGCUAACUACGUG